rnacentral:rRNA from 1 species
GACGAACCGUCCAAACGUUAUUCGGAAUCACUGGGCUUACAGAGUUCGUAGGCGGUCUGGAAAGUUGGUGUGAAUCCCGAUCGGCUCAACCGAGGAACUGCGCUGAAACUACCAGACUCGAGGGAGAUAGAGGAAAGCGGAACUGAUGGUGGAGCGGUGAAAUGCGUUGAUAUCAUCAGGAACACCAGUGGCGGAGGCGGCUACCCUGGACCAGCAGU